GAUGAAGAACGUAGCGAAAUGCGAUAAGUACUGCGAAUUGCAGAAUCCGUGAGUCAUCGAAUCUUUGAACGCACAUUGCGCCCUCUGGUAUUCCGGAGGGCAUGCCUGUUCGAGCGUCACUAUCACCCCUCAAGCCCGGCUUGUUGUUGGAUGCAGCGCUUAUCCCGCUCCUCCCAAAGAUAAUGACGGCGUCUGCGACGACUCCUGUACACUGAGCUUUCGGGCACGUACACGGCUAGAAGUCCAGACCCGGUCGCCGUCCCCCCCGCGGGGACACCCAUUACCACAAGGUUGACCUCGGAUCAGGUAGGAAUACCCGCUGAACUUAAGCAUAUCAAUAAGCGGAGGA
rnacentral:misc_RNA from 1 species